rnacentral:rRNA from 1 species
GACGAACGCUGGCGGCGUGCUUAACACAUGCAAGUCGAACGGAAAGGCCCUGCUUUUGUGGGGUGCUCGAUUGGCGAACGGGUGAGUAACACGUGAGUAACCUGCCCUUGACUUUGGGAUAACUUCAGGAAACUGGGGCUAAUACCGGAUAGGAGCUCCUGCUGCAUGGUGGGGGUUGGAAAGUUUCGGCGGUUGGGGAUGGACUCGCGGCUUAUCAGCUUGUUGGUGGGGUAGUGGCUUACCAAGGCUUUGACGGGUAGCCGGCCUGAGAGGGUGACCGGCCACAUUGGGACUGCGAUACGGCCCAGACUCCUACGGGAGGCAGCAGUGGGGAAUAUUGCACAAUGGGCGGAAGCCUGAUGCAGCAACGUCGCGUGCGGGAUGACGGCCUUCGGGUUGUAAACCGAUUUCGCCUGCGACGAAGCGUGAGUGACGGUAAUGGGUAAAGAAGCAACGGCUAACUACGUG